UCGCCUGUUUAUCAAAAACAUCGCCUCUUGCUAAACAAAUGUAUUAGAGGUCCCGCCUGCCCUGUGACCAUAUAGUUUAACGGCCGCGGUAUCCUGACCGUGCGAAGGUAGCGUAAUCACUUGUCUUUUAAAUGAAGACCUGUAUGAAUGGCAUAACGAGGGUUUAACUGUCUCCUUCCCCCAGUCAAUGAAAUUGAUCUGCCCGUGCAGAAGCGGACAUAAAAACAUAAGACGAGAAGACCCUAUGGAGCUUUAGGCCAAGGACCAAUCAUGUUAAGAGACUACAAAACCAAAAAGAACAAAAAAGUCAACAAACCAAAUGCAACCUCGUCCAAGUGCCUUCGGUUGGGGCGACCACGGGGAAAAGAGAAACCCCCACAUGGAAUGGAAAUCAUUUCCUUAAACCAAGAAAAACAAUUCUAAGCAACAGAACAUCUGACCAAUAUAUGACCCAGGAAAACACAUCCUGAUCAAUGAACCAAGUUACCCUAGGGAUAACAGCGCAAUCCUUUCCCAGAGCCCAUAUCGACGAAAGGGUUUACGACCUCGAUGUUGGAUCAGGACAUCCUAAUGGUGCAGCCGCUAUUAAGGGUUCGUUUGUUCAACGAUUAAUAGUCCUACGUGAUCUGAGUUCAGACCGG
rnacentral:rRNA from 1 species